UGGGGAAUCUUGCACAAUGGGGGAAACCCUGAUGCAGCGCAGCCGCGUGAACGAUGAAGCCCUUCGGGGUGUAAAGUUCUUUCGACAGGAACGAUAAUGACGGUACCUGGAGAAGAAGCUGCGGCUAACUCCGUGCCAGCAGCCGCGGUAAUACGUAGGCAGCGAGCGUUGUUCGGAGUUACUGGGCGUAAAGAGUGCGUAGGCGGCGAGUCAAGUUUGGUGUGAAAUCUCCCGGCUUAACCGGGAGGGUGCGCCGAAAACUGGUUGGCUGGAGUAUGGGAGAGGAAAGCGGAAUUCCUGGUGUAGCGGUGAAAUGCGUAGAUAUCAGGAGGAACACCUGCGGUGUAGACAGCUUUCUGGACCAAAACUGACGCUGAGGCACGAAAGCGUGGGUAGCAAACA
rnacentral:rRNA from 1 species